ACGUGAGGAAGAUCCGAACGGAGUGAGGAAGUGUGGGAUGUACCGACGUGUGAGGAUUAUCACAGUAUUCCUCAAUACAUCGAUGUAUCGAUCUUCCUUCAUUCUUCCUGAAAUUGGGUGAGACUACCCGCUGAAUUUAAGCAUAUAAUUAAGCGGUGGAAAAGAAAAUAACUAUGAUUCUCCUAGUAACGGCGAGUGAAGC
rnacentral:rRNA from 1 species